GCCUAUUUGUGAUCUCUGUCUGUCAAAUAAAUAAAAAAAAAUCAUUAAGAAAAGACAAAAAAGAGUAAGUCCUGUUUUUCUAAUGUGUGAGCACUGCCAGGAGUCCCCAACCUGGAGUCUGCUAACACUUAAGAAACUCCAGACAUAUUCAGGAAUUCUGGGACAUCUCUUUCAGUAUUUCAAAGAGCUUAAUAGAACAGUAUAUUUACCUGCAAAAGCCCACAUGCCCUAACUAAAAUGUCAUUAUUCUUUACUUUUGGCUGGAACUCUAUGAAGUCAUUUGGCCACACUGGUGAUCUCACACUGCUGAGUGGUUCUGAUACACUGUGGAAGACACAGUGAUUUCUGGGAUGUGACUAGAGAAGCGGGCACCAUUAUAAAGCCAUGGAUCGAUCCCAGAAUACCCAGUUAGAAGUGUCACUUAACAGAAUCCAGGGAAAACUAAGGUUGAAUGCUUCAUAUUCUAAGAGAGGUGGGAUAUGUAGUCAAGCAAUUCAAUGAAUAGGAAAGAAUAUGCAUGGAUAAACAGAUUUUAUAUCAAGUCUGCAGUGCCUUAGAAUGGGAAGCAGAAGGCAAAGCUGAAGGGAUAAAGAAAUCAGGGGAAACUGGAGGAGUGGAGUUAGGAGCACACUGAAAGGGAAAGAAGGGAGUUGUAACUGACAAACCAUACAGAAGCCAGAAGACAGUGGAAGAGAAAAUGGGUAAGAUGGGAUUUGAUCUUUGACUCUAAAAAACUUUUUUUUGAUGGGAUUUUUAAAAGUCCAGACUGUGAGGGUUAGAAUUAGCUCAGCUUGAAAACUUUAGAAAUGUUAAAAUGAAUGUACUUACAGCCUCCAAAAAUUAUUCUGCCAUCGUGAGCGAUAAGUACAGUGCUAUA